AUGGUCUGGUUUCUCUUCAAAUUGCAUAAAUCUUUCACCUUUAACUAAAAAUUUCCACGGAGAGAAACAAAUACAAGUUCUUAACCAAUUUUUUGAGGUCUUGUGUAAGGAAGACA